GUGCUUGCUUUGGCAGCACAUACACUAAAAUUGGAACAAUACAGAGAAGAGUAGCAUGGCCCCUGCGCAAGGAUAAAGUGUUCCAUGUUCCAAGUUCUGCUGCGUUGU